rnacentral:rRNA from 1 species
UACGUAGGGUGCAAGCGUUAUCCGGAAUUAUUGGGCGUAAAGAGCUCGUAGGCGGUUUGUCGCGUCUGCUGUGAAAACUGGGGGGCUCAACCCCCCAGCCUGCAGUGGGUACGGGCAGACUAGAGUGCGGUAGGGGAGAUUGGAAUUCCUGGUGUAGCGGUGGAAUGCGCAGAUAUCAGGAGGAACACCGGUGGCGAAGGCGGGUCUCUGGGCCGUAACUGACGCUGAGGAGCGAAAGCAUGGGGAGCGAACAGG